CUGAUCGAUCUCCCUUGAUUCCCUUCCUAUUCCAUCACGCACACAUUCAUGUAGCAGUUCUCAAAUUCCCAUCUAUGGCCGUCGAGGCUUCGUCUCUUCGCUCGACGCUCCUUUUCCCUUUUCUACUGAAUCGAAUAUACCUCCCUAAUUCAGAUCGUUCAUCGAUUUCAAUUCUCCGGCGCCGUCGCAACACCGCUUUGCUCUCCGUUCAUAAAUGAUUCAACCAUCCGAGAAGCUUUUCAAAGACGAAAUUACCGAAGACAUAUCUUAGGUCAACAACGACUCAAGUGAGGUUAAAUUAUUUAGCAACAUUAUGCAUCGAGAAGAAAUUAUUGGAUUAUAUUAAUGUCGACCUCAUCAUAAGUGACUUUGCAUCAAGGAAUGUUAAAAGAAAUUUUGAAGGGUUCUAUGGUACAACAUCAUGUUAUACUCUUACACCUAUGGGAAACUUUUACCUACUAAUAACUGCCUAUUUAAUCUCCAAUGGAUCAUCCUAUAAAUAAGCGAGCAACUGAGCUAGAUGUUCACGGUUGAGUGCCCGAACCAAGGCUCGAAGUCAACUUAGGUCUGAGUUUUCUGGAAGUUCUUAACUUGCUAUUAUGGAAAUUAAGUACCUAAAUUCUUCUUUAUAUUUUUGAUAUACUAAAUGUUUCUCGUGA